AAUCUUGCGCAAUGGGCGAAAGCCUGACGCAGCCAUGCCGCGUGUAUGAUGAAGGUCUUAGGAUUGUAAAAUACUUUCACCGGUGAAGAUAAUGACUGUAGCCGGAGAAGAAGCCCCGGCUAACUUCGUGCCAGCAGCCGCGGUAAUACGAAGGGGGCUAGCGUUGCUCGGAAUUACUGGGCGUAAAGGGAGCGUAGGCGGACAUUUAAGUCAGGGGUGAAAUCCCGGAGCUCAACUCCGGAACUGCCCUUGAUACUGGGUGUCUUGAGUGUGAGAGAGGUAUGUGGAACUCCGAGUGUAGAGGUGAAAUUCGUAGAUAUUCGGAAAAACACCAGUGGCGAAGGCGACAUACUGGCUCAUUACUGACGCUGAGGCUCGAAAGCGUGGGGAGCAAACAGG
rnacentral:rRNA from 1 species